rnacentral:siRNA from 1 species
AGAAAGAGCAUUUAUGUACUUAUG